AUCAAAGAUUUGCAUAGAACAUACGGACAAGAGGUUCAUACACUUUAGGUGGAGAAACGGAGAGAAAUUUUUCCCACCCCUGAUAAAUAAAAAGAUAUUUACCUUGCAGUCGUGGAAUUCCAUGGUAUCGAGAUCCACCACACGACCAUGGGAAAUGGGCUUGUCCUUGAUCGACAGAAAGAAAUGCCUAUUUGGGGUGUCCCAAAAAUUUAGGUCAGAUUCGAGAGAGGCAGAAAAAUCGAACUUGGUUUUCUUGGGAGUGGAUAGAGGGGCUUCAUCAAUAGGUCGUUUACUAGCGGCUUUUUCACCAAGAAGCAUAGAUUGCUCAAAAUAUGCACCUUGAGAGGAGGCACACUCUUUAGACUUGUCUUACCCUAUGUCUACUUGCUCAGGCGGAGCGGAGGUGGGUUUGGUUUUUGAAUGAGUGCUCUUUCUUGUGGAGGUGGAGGAAUUUUUUGACGUCUUGGCCAUGGAGGAAAAGAGGGUUUCGGAAUAGAUAAAUGAGGGGUUUGGUGAGAAGGGUGAGAAGGAAAGGGAUGACUGGAACUAUGUAAAGAGAAUAGAUUUUACGGUUAAGUGGAAAAGGAAAAGGUAUCAGAUGGACAGUCGCAUUGAUUGGCUUUCCAUUUUCUCUGCAACUGAUGGGAUAUUAGAA
rnacentral:lncRNA from 1 species